rnacentral:rRNA from 1 species
ACUGCUCAGUAACACGUGGAUAACCUGCCCUUGGGUCCGGCAUAACCCCGGGAAACUGGGGAUAAUUCCGGAUAACGCACAUAUGCUGGAAUGCUUUAUGCGUCAAAUGUAUUCGUCUGCCCAAGGAUGGGUCUGCGGCCUAUCAGGUAGUAGUGGGUGUAAUGUACCUACUAGCCGACGACGGGUACGGGUUGUGAGAGCAAGAGCCCGGAGAUGGAUUCUGAGACAUGAAUCCAGGCCCUACGGGGCGCAGCAGGCGCGAAAACUUUACAAUGCGGGAAACCGUGAUAAGGGGACACCGAGUGCCAGCAUCAUAUGCUGGCUGUCCAGGUGUGUAAAAUACACCUGUUAGCAAGGGCCGGGCAAGACCGGUGCCAGCCGCCGCGGUAACACCGGCGGCCCGAGUGGUGAUCGUGAUUAUUGGGUCUAAAGGGUCCGUAGCCGGUUUGGUCAGUCCUCCGGGAAAUCUGAUAGCUCAACUAUUAGGCUUUCGGGGGAUACUGCCAGACUUGGAACCGGGAGAGGUAAGAGGUACUACAGGGGUAGGAGUGAAAUCUUGUAAUCCCUGUGGGACCACCUGUGGCGAAGGCGUCUUACCAGAACGGGUUCGACGGUGAGGGACGAAAGCUGGGGGCACGAACCGGAUUAGAUACCCGGGUAGUCCCAGCCGUAAACGAUGCUCGCUAGGUGUCAGACAUGGCGCGACCGUGUCUGGUGCCGCAGGGAAGCCGUGAAGCGAGCCACCUGGGAAGUACGGCCGCAAGGCUGAAACUUAAAGGAAUUGGCGGGGGAGCAC